rnacentral:tRNA from 2 species
GCCCCUGUAGCCCAAUUGGAAGAGGCACUAGACUAAGGAUCUAGGGGGUACUGGUUCGAGUCCAGUCAGGGGUA